CCGGGCUCCCAGAAAUUUCUCUCUCUCUUGUUUUUCAAGACAGGCCCCAGAAGGGGGACUCAGAGUGAAGUCUGAGGGCACCGGGAGGCCGGCCCAGGGGCUGGGAAGGCUCCCCGCAGAGGAGGGCCUGGGAGCAGGAGCAACACGCAGGUGUUGGCAUCUCCUGGCUGAGACCCUCACUUCCUCCUGGGACCGAGAGACCUUCCCCUGCCGCUGUCUACAGAGCAGCCCCGGACCUGCACCCGACGCUGAGCGGACAGUGCCACCUGUUGACGCUGAGACGGACCACGCGCUCCUUCCCAGGCCGGCUCCAGGUACUGGGGAUCGAACUCAGGUCCUUGUGCUUGCGGAGCAGGCAGUGGAACCACUGAGCUAAAUCCUCAGCAGUUUCUUCACCUUUUAAUGAUGCUGUUAAACGGUUUUAUUUCAUGAUCUGUCUGUUGAGCUGUGAGACAGUUUGAGGGAAGGAGGGCAGAGGCACCUGACAUGUGGCUUCCAACAAUUUCCAUGAUGUAAAUACGCCCAGCAUGGCCCAUGACUGCUGAUUUCAAGCUACUGAGGAGACGGAUGAUAGUGGACAAGCAUCCAUCUAGAAUAUCACCAGCAAGGCGGAAAUAGAGAGUACCCUGUUCUCGGCCAGGCUUCGGGCACACGGAGACAUCUGGACAGCAGUGACAGUGAUGGGCGCAGAUGAAGAUAACACUCUCAUGAGUGUCAACGUGACUAGAUCUAGAGAACAUCUCCAAGUGCUGACUUACUAGGAGUCCAUUUCUUCAUUAUGAAUAAAUAAAUAAAUACUUG
rnacentral:lncRNA from 1 species